rnacentral:rRNA from 1 species
GUCCAUGGCCAUGUCUCCCUGAAGAUGCCUGAUCUUGUGAUCUUAUCAGAUCUUUGUAGCUCAGCAGGGUCAGGCCUGGUUAGUACUUGGAUCUGAGAAUUAAAUUAGGUCGUGUGGAUG